rnacentral:rRNA from 1 species
AUUGAACGCUGGCGGCAUGCCUUACACAUGCAAGUCGAACGGUAACAGGUCUUCGGACGCUGACGAGUGGCGAACGGGUGAGUAAUACAUCGGAACGUGCCCAGUCGUGGGGGAUAACUACUCGAAAGAGUGGCUAAUACCGCAUACGAUCUGAGGAUGAAAGCGGGGGAACUUCGGGCCUCGCGCGCUUGGAGCGGCCGAUGGCAGAUUAGGUUGUUGGUGGGAUAAAAGCUUACCAAGCCGACGAUCUGUAGCUGGUCUGAAAGGACGACCAGCCACACUGGGACUGAGACACGGCCCAGACUCCUACGGGAGGCAGCAGUGGGGAAUUUUGGACAAUGGGCGAAAGCCUGAUCCAGCAAUGCCGCGUGCAGGAUGAGGGCCUUCGGGUUGUAAACUGCUUUUGUACGGAACGAAAAAGCUUCCCCUAAUACGGGAGGCCCAUGACGGUACCGUAAGAAUAAGCACCGGCUAACUACGUGCCAGCAGCCGCGGUAAUAC